rnacentral:rRNA from 1 species
AACGAACGCUGGCGGCAGGCCUAAAACAUGCAAGUCGAGCGGGCAUAGCAAUAUGUCAGCGGCGGACGGGUGAAUAACACGUGGGAACAUGCCCUUUGGUACGGAACAACUCAGGGAAACUUGAGCUAAUACCGUAUGUGCCGGUAACGGGAAAGAUUUAUCGCCAAAGGAUUGGCCCGCGUCCGAUUAGCUAGUUGGUGAGGUAACGGCUCACCAAGGCGACGAUCGGUAGCUGGUUUGAGAGAACGAUCAGCCACACUGGGACUGAGACACGGCCCAGACUCCUACGGGAGGCAGCAGUUGGGAAUCUUGGACAAUGGGGGAAACCCUGAUCCAGCCAUGCCGCGUGAGCGAUGAAGGCCUUGGUUG